CGAAGGGGCUAGCGUUGCUCGGAAUUACUGGGGCGUAAAGGGCGCGUAGGCGGACAUUUAAGUCAGAGGUGAAAGCCCAGGGCUCAACCUUGGAAUUGCCUUUGAUACUGGAUGUCUUGAGUUCGGGAGAGGUGAGUGGAAUGCCGAGUGUAGAGGUGAAAUUCGUAGAUAUUCGGCGGAACACCAGUGGCGAAGGCGACUCACUGGCCCGAUACUGACGCUGAGGCGCGAAAGCGUGGGGAGCAAACAGGAUUAGAUACCCUGGUAGUCCACGCUGUAAACGAUGAGUGCUAGUUGUCGGCAUGCAUGCAUGUCGGUGACGCAGCUAACGCAUUAAGCACUCCGCCUGGGGAGUACGGUCGCAAGAUUA
rnacentral:rRNA from 1 species